rnacentral:ncRNA from 1 species
UUUCUCUCAGGAUAGCUGGAAUACAUAAUGGAACUUUUGAUAAAGCGAAUGAUUAGAGGAAGUGGGGGACGGAAUUUUUUCAAUCUAUUUUAAAACUUCCAACGAGUACGAUGUCUCGUUGCUUGAAUGAAGCGUAGACAUUGAAUGUGUGCUCCAAGUGGGUCGUUUUUGGUAAGCAGAACUGGCGCACUGUGGAAUGAUCCA